rnacentral:rRNA from 1 species
UACAGAGGAGCCAAGCGUUGUCCGGAUUGACUGGGCGUAAAGCGCACGCAGGCGGAUGCGCGCGUGGGGUGUGAAAAUCUGGCCGCUUAACGGCCAGGCGCCAUCCCAUACGGCGCGUCUGGAGUGAUGCAGAGGUCGAUGGAAUUGCCGGUGUAGUGGUGAAAUGCGUAGAGAUCGGCAGGAACACCCAGGGGGAAACCAGUCGACUGGGCAUCUACGUGACGCUGAGUGCGAGAGCGUGGGGAGC